rnacentral:rRNA from 1 species
AACGAACGCUGGCGGCAGGCUUAACACAUGCAAGUCGAGCGCCCCGCAAGGGGAGCGGCAGACGGGUGAGUAACACGUGGGGAUCUGCCCAAUGGUACGGAAUAGCUCCGGGAAACUGGAAAUAAUACCGUAUGUGCCCGCAAGGGGAAAGAUUUAUCGCCAUUGGAUGAACCCGCGUCGGAUUAGCUAGUUGGUGAGGUAAAGGCUCACCAAGGCGACGAUCCGUAGCUGGUCUGAGAGGAUGAUCAGCCACACUGGAACUGAGACACGGCCCAGACUCCUACGGGAGGCAGCAGUGGGGAAUAUUGGACAAUGGGCGCAAGCCUGAUCCAGCCAUGCCGCGUGAGUGAUGAAGGCCUUAGGGUUGUAAAGCUCUUUCGCCGACGAAGAUGAUGACGGUAGUCGGAGAAGAAGCCCCGGCUAACUUCGUGCCAGCAGCCGCAAGUAAGAC